rnacentral:rRNA from 1 species
GACGAACGCUGGCGGCGUGCUUAACACAUGCAAGUCGAACGGAAAGGCCCUGCUUUUGUGGGGUGCUCGAGUGGCGAACGGGUGAGUAACACGUGAGUAACCUGCCCUUGACUUUGGGAUAACUUCAGGAAGCUGGGGCUAAUACCGGAUAGGAGCUCCUGCUGCAGGGUGGGGGUUGGAAAGUUUCGGCGGGUGGGGAUGGACUGGCGGCUUAUCAGGUUGGUGGUGGGGUAGUGGCUUACCAAGGCGUUGAUGUGUAGACGGCCUGAGAGGAGGAUCGGCCACCUUGGAGGUGAGACACGGACCAGGCUCCUACGGGAGGCAGCAGUGUGGAAUUGUGGACAGUGGGCGAAAGCCUGAUCCAGCCAUGCCGCGUGCAGGAUGAAGGCCUUCGGGUUGUAAACUGCUUUUGUACGGAACGAAAAGCCUCUUUCUAAUACAGAGGGGUAAUGACGGUACCGUAAGAAGAAGCACCGGCUAACUACGUG